rnacentral:rRNA from 1 species
GACGAACGCUGGCGGCGUGCUUAACACAUGCAAGUCGAACGAAGUGGCGAACGGGUGAGUAACGCGUACUCAACCUGCCCUUCAGAGGGGGACAACAGUUGGAAAAGACUGCUAAUACAGCAUACUGAAGGAGGGGAUUGCGGCUGAUUAGCUAGUUGGAGGGGUAACGGCCCACCAAGGCGAUGAUCAGUAGCCGGUCUGAGAGAAUUACCGGCCAAAUUGGGACAGAGACACGGGCCCGAGUCCUACGGGAGGCAGCAGUGGGGAAUCUUCCGCAAUGGACGAAAGUCUGACGGAGCAACGCCGCGUGAGUGAUGACGGCCUUCGGGUUGGAAAGGUCUGUUAAUCGGGACGCGGUACCGGAAUAGAAAGCCACGGCUAACUACGUGCCAGCAGCCGCGGUAAUAC